AUUGAACGCUGGCGGCAUGCUUUACACAUGCAAGUCGAACGGUAACAGGUCUUCGGAUGCUGACGAGUGGCGAACGGGUGAGUAAUACAUCGGAACGUGCCUAGUAUGGGGGAUAACUACUCGAAAGAGUAGCUAAUACCGCAUGAGAUCUACGGAUGAAAGCAGGGGACCUUCGGGCCUUGUGCUACUAGAGCGGCUGAUGGCAGAUUAGGUAGUUGGUGGGGUAAAGGCUUACCAAGCCUGCGAUCUGUAGCUGGUCUGAGAGGACGACCAGCCACACUGGGACUGAGACACGGCCCAGACUCCUACGGGAGGCAGCAGUGGGGAAUUUUGGACAAUGGGCGAAAGCCUGAUCCAGCAAUGCCGCGUGCAGGAUGAAGGCCCUCGGGUUGUAAACUGUUUUUGUACGGAACGAAAAGCCUGGGGCUAAUAUCCCCGGGUCAUGACGGUACCGUAAGAAUAAGCACCGGCUAACUACGUG
rnacentral:rRNA from 1 species